AUCUUUGUUAGUGAGCACUUCUCCUUUGCCGAGAUAAUCCAUCACAUUUUAGAGUGGCCUUUUAUUGUGGCCAGCCUAAGGUACACCUUUGCAAUAAUCGUGCUGUCUAAUCAACAUCUUAAUAUGCCACACCUGUGAGAUGGAUGGAUUAUCUCGGCAAAGGAGAAGUGCUCACUAACACAGAU